UUUAAAUUAUUGCAUUUACAACUCCGUCGCAUUUUUUGCAAUAAUAAUAAUCUCCCAAUAAUUUCUGGAUUUACAGUAGUUAUUUUGUGGGAUUCAUUUUGAAGAGUUGUGCAAUUUCCACAUAUUUACAACUUUACAUGUAUCUUUUCAUUAUAUUUACUCACUAGAAUAGAAUAUGUUUUUCUCACUGGUGAAAAAAACAGAGCUAUUGUUUUGUAAUUAAAUGCUUUUUUGAUGAUAUUUAAUUAUUAAAAAUAAUAAUUGUAAACAUGAAAUUAUUUAUGAAUUUAAGUUUAUUAUAUGAUAUUUCCAUUUGUGAAAUUCUGAUUUUUGAUAGAAAAAAUGAAUAUGAAAAUUAUUUCAAAGCACAAGAAGACGAAAAUAUUACUAAGAAAACCUUUUUUUAUAGUAUAUUACAAAACGUUGGUGUACUGAAUCUUGAACCACUUGAAAAGAAUCUUGUGUAAUGUUUUUUAAUCGUACAAUUUUGUUCUUGUUCAAAAUGUCCUCACAGUAAUUUUUGUAAAAAGUAUGUAAACUGUCAAAGUAACUGAUAUCUACUCAUGCUUAGUUUGCAUUGUUUUUAUAAAUUUAUAUUAUUAUUAUUUUUGAAUCCGUCCAGAUUUUUUGAACUGCCUUUUUUGAGAUACUGCUGAACUGUUAUUUGCAAUACUUUUUUGAUGUUAUUUAUUCCAUAUAUGUAUUUGUCUUAUAUAGUUGAGUAUAAUGACUGCUAAGUUCUAUAGGUGCUAAAAUCUUCUCUUUUAAGGCCAUAAUAAACAUAUUUCUAGGUUGUCAUCCCUAUCCACACAAUAUUAUCUACUGUAUCUUUCUCAGUUUUAUUUACCUGAACAAGAAAAAAGAAGAAAUUUUAUAUAAAAACAAAGUAAUUGACCCAAUAGAAUUUA
rnacentral:lncRNA from 1 species